GAAGUUCGCAAUACCGAAAAAGAGUUUGGUUGAUCUGAAGUUGAGUUGCCUUAACUUCAAUUCGACCAAGUCGGGUUGAAAACCGCAAUAAACUUCGGUGUUAAGGAUUUUUUUUCUUUCCCUUUCUUAGGUUGGCAACGCCAAUCAUACUUCGACUGAACUUAGUUGAAGUUCGCAAUACCGAAAAAGAGUUUGGUUGAUCUGAAGUUGAGUUGCCUUAACUUCAAUUCGACCAAGUCGGGUUGAAAACCGCAAUAAACUUCGGUGUUAAGGAUUUUUUUUUCGUUUUCUUUCUGUUCUUAGUUAGAAACUUAGUAACUACACCAUGUUUUAUUAUUAAGUCAUAACGGUGCUAAAUAGUGUUCGCAACAUCUUCAAAAGACGAUAAGCGCUGUUGUACUAUAUUAAGCAAGGUGAAAAAAUUAAAAAGUGGCUGUUUAAACCUCCUCAUAAAGGUAUCCUUUCCUUGCUUCUAUGGGUAGUGGCACUCGUCGUUGAGUUAGAGUGAAAGCAGUAGCUUAUGUGGAUUAUAGGGCUGAGUCCUUAUACAAUCAGUGAGAAUAUGGAAAGAAGCUUGCGCUGCCACGAGGAGCAAAGAAAAAUUAAAUUAAAUUGGUGUAACCCUAGUGGUAUUACAAAAGCAAAGUAUUUGGGUAUAUAACUCCACUAGUAUAUACCAAGCGGAAGUACAGGUACAUAGAAGUCUGUGAAGUUCUGUUGUACAACCUCGAGAGGAUACAAAAUACAACGAUUUAUACAGACAGCCAGGCGGCACUACCAGCCUUGUCGUCGCCAAAGAUUUACUUGAACAUGAGUAUACAAAAUAUAAUUUUCCAGCAACCCAUAUUUGGAAUGUAGAUGAGACGGGGCAGUCAGUGGUACAAUCUCGACAGCCUGAAAUAAUUGCACAAAAAGGAAAGCGACAAAUAGGCGCCAUGACUUCCGCAGAACGUGGAUCCCUUAUAACUGUUAUAACGUGCAUGAGUGCUGGCGGGUCUUUCGUGCCUCCAUAUUUUAUAUUUCUUAGAAAGAAUAAUAACCCACUCUUUAUGAAGGAUGCUCCACCUGGAGCUAAAUCUUCGUGCCAUCUAUCUGGAUGGGUACAAAUACCCAUUUUCACAAAUUGGUUCAGGCAUUUUUGGAGGAAAUUUUAUUCCAUAUAAUAUUAUGCAUUUUAAGUCAAGGGCUAUAUUUGCGAAUAUUAAAAUACUAGAAACAAUUCAGUUUUGAAGUUUUCUGACGAAUCUUUUCAUAGUUAUAGCCAAAAUAAAAAUGGGUAUACCAUAUUACCCACACUUACUCUAAACAAAGCAAGGACGGAUUUAAGGUCACUCAGGUCAACUCGACUUAUCCAUAAUUUGGGUUCCCGGUCAUAGGAACAUUUUCGUCAACGAUAAAGCAGACGAGUUCGCUAAAUCAGGAGCAUCUCUAGACGAAUCUGAGGCAGAAACAAUACCGCGUCUGCUAGGAGCGAUCAAGAGGGAGCUCAAUACGCGAAAGAUCUACAACUAAAUGCAGGAUAACGAAACAGAUAUGGCUAAACUAUGACAAAACAACAUAUUACAUAGGUUCAGGGAAAGUAAAUACAGGCAUACAUCUACCAUAUCAUGCGUUAAAAAAUCUAAUUUUUGCAUGAGAAAAGAAAAUUCUCCACUUGCUCUUACACAUACAUAGUUAAACGCUAUUUAAAAGUUUACUAUUGUCGUUAUAGUCUGUAGCCAUUGAAUUGCAAGUGAAACAUGAUCUCUUCAAUCGUCUUCUGUGAAGAAGUAUUAAAAAUUUAAAGAGUGGAAUAUAAUUGUUUAUAUUGAAUAAAAAUAUAAAUUGUAACUCAA